rnacentral:rRNA from 1 species
CCGUAGUUAGAUAUCAAUUGGUUUGAAAGCAACCUGCAAAGGAUGCAACUUAAACCUUUAACUUGUUACCUUGAGAAAAUGGAGGCGCCUAAGGCACGCGAUAUGUGUGAACUAUCUAGCAUGGAAUAGCACAUUUAAACUGUCAAUAAACAUGCCGAAUGUUUGUUGAUUAGGAUGAUUGAUAAGGGCAGUCGGGGACACUUGUACUUGCUGGAGAGAGGUGAAAUUCUGAGACCCGGCAAAGACACUCAAAUGCGAAAGCUUUUGUCCAGAAUGUUCCUGUUAAUCAAGGACUAAAGUUGGGGGAUCGAAGACGAUUAGAUACCGUCGUAGUCCCAACCGUAAACCAUGCCGACUGAUCGUUGGUUAGAAGUCUGUAUUCUUUUCAGCGUUCGAAAGAAAUUGAAGUUAUUGGGCCCUGGGGGGAGUAUGGUUGCAAGACUGAAACUUAAAGGAAUUGACGGAAGGGCACCACCAGGAGUGGAGCUUGCGGCUUAAUUCGACUCAACGCGUGAAAUUUUACCAGGUCCGGACAUAGUUAUGAUUGACAAACUAAAAGAUUUUUCUAAAUUCUAUGGGUGGUGGUGCAUGGCUGUUCUUAGUCGGUGAGGUGACUUGUCUGGUUUAUUCCGAUAACGGACGAGACCUUGACCUUUAAUUCUCGACUGUUAUCUUAAAUGGAAGAGUCUUAAAGGGACUCAAUGUUCCAAACAUUGGGAAGAUCAAGGCAAUAACAGGUCUGUGAUGCCCUUAGAUAACCUGGGCUGCACGUGUGCUACAAUAACAUGCACAACGAGUACCAAUAUCGAAACGAUGYUGUGAAUCUUCAAAGCGUGUUAAGGU